rnacentral:rRNA from 1 species
GACGGGGGGGGGCAAGUGUUCUUCGGAAUGACUGGGCGUAAAGGGCACGUAGGCGGUGAAUCGGGUUGAAAGUGAAAGUCGCCAAAAAGUGGCGGAAUGCUCUCGAAACCAAUUCACUUGAGUGAGACAGAGGAGAGUGGAAUUUCGUGUGUAGGGGUGGAAAUCCGUAGAUCUACGAAGGAACGCCAAAAGCGAAGGCAGCUCUCUGGGUCCCUACCGACGCUGGGGUGCGAAAGCAUGGGGGAGCGAACAGG